rnacentral:lncRNA from 1 species
ACCAGACUGACUAACUUGUCUCUCACUCACUCUAAAAACUGUACAGUUCAAGACAGAAAUACAAUAUACAAAGAACAGAGAACAAACUCCAAAAAUGAAACGAGAGCCACUGAAAGACAUUACCAACGUGCAAACGGAUAAGAAAAUGACCCAACAGUACACCAAAAAUGGGCAACCAGCCCGCAGAUGCUUCGAGAUCUUUAGAGGAUCUAACUGAUGGGCGGACCAGAGAGUGAGUGUCAGAGAGGAGUCCGAAUAGUAUUAUCAUGUUCAUGGUUAUUUUGGAAAUCUGAAGAACUCACACAGAAUAGAGAAACACACAAAAGACACAAUCUUAAACCACAAGAAAUAAACGACGAAUUUAAUUUUUAUUGGGGUGGGUUGUGUACGUGUCGAUCGGACAUUGCAAUUAUUUUUGAAUAUUUAAUAUGCAUAUUUGCACAUAUAUAUGUAUGUAUUAACUUGUUAGUAAUUUUCUAUUUGUUUCGCCUGUUCUUCCAUCCUUUACGAUUUCUUUUAG